GACGAACGCUGGCGGCGUGCCUAACACAUGCAAGUAGAACGCAGUUGCGAACGGGUGAGUAACGCGUAGGUACCUGCCUCAUAGAGGGGGAUAACUAUUGGAAACGAUAGCCAAUACCGCAUACUGUGAGCUGGACCUGCGUUGUAUUAGCUAGUUGGUGAGGUAAAGGCCCACCAAGGCGACGAUACAUAGCCGCCCUGAGAGGGGGAUCGGCCACGCUGGGACUGAGACACGGCCCAGACUCCUACGGGAGGCAGCAGUAGGGAAUCGUCGGCAAUGGACGGAGGUCUGACCAAGCAACGCCGCGUGAGGGAAGAAGGUUUGCGGGUCGUAAAGCUCUGUUGUUAGAGAAGCGGUACCUGACCAGAAAGGGACGGCUAACUACGUGCCAGCAGCCGCGGUAAUAC
rnacentral:rRNA from 1 species